rnacentral:hammerhead_ribozyme from 1 species
AUCUAGCUGAAGAGUCCCAAAUAGGACGAAACGCACAUCGCUAUCGGUCCCUAGCU